CCAUAGGAAGAUUUUUUGCCAAGAACCCAUGGUAAAAUUCUCUACGCAUAUGGGUAAUAUUUUCCAGACGGAUACCAUAGUCACUGAGACUUUUACUCUCACGUGCAUAAGUAUUUAAUGUAUUUGUCAUCGGUAGCCGUCUGUCUUGCUCAAAUCAUUUACCACAGUAUGGGGCCUAUAGAAUAACACCCAGGUGCCUCCUAUUGAAUGCAAUUACCUGUGUAUACAAGAACAUUGGACCCUGAGCUUUGUGCUCAAGACAUAAAGCUCAUAUUCCUAUGGCUAGACAGUCCAAGCCGAGCCUAGACAGUGCUGUACCAUCACGGACCUUGGCCUGGAGGUGUGACUGCAGAAGAGCAUUCACUGAAAAAAUCUGCAAGGAUCCUAGACGUGACUCUGAAAUGC
ensembl:lncRNA